GACGAACGCUGGCGGCGUGCUUAACACAUGCAAGUCGAACGGAAAGGCCCUGCUUUUGUGGGGUGCUCGAGUGGCGAACGGGUGAGUAACACGUGAGUAACCUGCCCCUGACUUUGGGAUAACUUCAGGAAACUGGGGCUAAUACCGGAUAGGAGCUCCUGCUGCAUGGUGGGGGUUGGAAAGUUUCGGCGGUUGGGGAUGGACUCGCGGCUUAUCAGCUUGUUGGUGGGGUAGUGGCUUACCAAGGCUUUGACGGGUAGCCGGCCUGAGAGGGUGACCGGCCACAUUGGGACUGAGAUACGGCCCAGACUCCUACGGGAGGCAGCAGUGGGAAAUAUUGAACAAUGGGCGGAAGCCGAAUGCAGCAACGCCGCGUGCGGGAUAACGGCCUUCGGGUUGUAAACCGCUUUCGCCUGUGACGAAGCGUGAGUGACGGUAAUGGGUAAAGAAGCACCGGCUAACUACGUG
rnacentral:rRNA from 1 species